CAAUAUUAUCCCAAGAAGUAACACGACUGAAGUUAGGUAUAUUCAUACACCGUCAUCCCCAUUCAAAGUAACAAACAAUGAUGUUUCUCACUCGCGGCAAAUGGAAGAAUUUCAGACUAGUGCAUCAAACAUAACUACAAAAAUUCAAUAUGAAAACAACUAUAAGUCGAAAGAAACUAUUACAUCUGUACAUGAUAGAUCAAAUUAAAAUGAACAGAAUGGGACUAAACGUAAUAAUGCAUUAGAAUACAGUAUCCCAAGAAGUAAAACUAGUGAAGUUAGGUAUAUUCAUACACUGUCAUCCUCUUUCAAAGUAACAAACGAUGAUGUUUGUCACUCGGGGCGAAUGGAAGAAUUUCA